CCCCACUUUCCUUCCAUCGCCUCCCAAUCCUUUCGUCGUCAUCAACGAACAUCUCUGUCUCUACGCUUCUUCCUUCUUCUUUGUGGCGUAGAUUUGUAGAAAGAAAAGAAAUUUCGAAACUUUGUUUUCUCAGAGUUUUCGAAAUUUCGAUUUGAAAUUUGGUAAUUGGAUUACUUGUUGGUGCAGAUAUUGGAGAAGAAGAAGAAGGUUCACGACUUCAUAAAAAGAGCUUCUUCGAGACUCGAUCCUCUUUCUCCCUUUGAUUCCUUCCGUCGUUACACAAAGAAUGACUUAUCUGUGUACCUGGAACCUGGCCGUGGAGAUAGACUAUCCUCGUUCCUGAAACAACACAUUCGAAAGCUCUUGAAGGUUCCAAUUCUUGAUUUGUCAAGUAUCAAGUGGGUGCAGCCCAACACUCUUGUUCGGUUCCGUGGAAUGAUACAGGACAUGCUUGGAAAUGAAUUCUAUGCUGGUGCUUACAAGGUAUGUGUAUUGUAUGUUAUGGUUUCUUCUACUAAAGAUGUGUUGAAUUUUGGUUUGUCUAUUAACUUAGUUAUUUUCUACUCUGUUAAAGAUGACGUUUAUUUGUUGUUGUUGUUGCUGGGGUGUCAAAGAUAUUUAA